UGGGGAAUUUUGGACAAUGGGGGAAACCCUGAUCCAGCCAUCCCGCGUGUGCGAUGAAGGCCUUCGGGUUGUAAAGCACUUUUGGCAGGAAAGAAACGUCAUGGGUUAAUACCCCGUGAAACUGACGGUACCUGCAGAAUAAGCACCGGCUAACUACGUGCCAGCAGCCGCGGUAAUACGUAGGGUGCAAGCGUUAAUCGGAAUUACUGGGCGUAAAGCGUGCGCAGGCGGUUCGGAAAGAAAGAUGUGAAAUCCCAGAGCUCAACUUUGGAACUGCAUUUUUAUCUACCGGGCUAGAGUGUGUCAGAGGGUGGUAGAAUUCCGCGUGUAGCAGUGAAAUGCGUAGAUAUGCGGAGGAACACCGAUGGCGAAGGCAGCCUCCUGGGAUAACACUGGCGCUCAUGCACGAAAGCGUAGGGAGCAAACAGG
rnacentral:rRNA from 1 species